AUGUGUGUACCAAAGAAAAAAGGUGGCAUGGGGUUUAGAGACCUUCAUAGCUUUAAUCUUGCUAUGUUAGCAAAGCAGUGUUGGCGACUACUCCAAAAUCUCGAUUCUUUGUGUGCACGAGUUUUGAGGGCAAAAUAUUAUCCCAAUGGAGAUAUUCUGAAAUCUGGCCCCAAGAAAAGUUCUUCGUUCACUUGGUAGAGUAUUGUAGCUGGUAUUCAAACUUUCAUAAGGUGA
rnacentral:rRNA from 1 species